rnacentral:rRNA from 1 species
UUAAGCGACUAAGCGUACACGGUGGAUGCCCUGGCAGUCAGAGGCGAUGAAGGACGUGCUAAUCUGCGAUAAGCGUCGGUAAGGUGAUAUGAACCGUUAUAACCGGCGAUUUCCGAAUGGGGAAACCCAGUGUGAUUCGUCACACUAUCAUUAACUGAAUCCAUAGGUUAAUGAGGCGAACCGGGGGAACUGAAACAUCUAAGUACCCCGAGGAAAAGAAAUCAACCGAGAUUCCCCCAGUAGCGGCGAGCGAACGGGGAGCAGCCCAGAGCCUGAAUCAGUGUGUGUGUUAGUGGAAGCGUCUGGAAAGGCGCGCGAUACAGGGUGACAGCCCCGUACACAAAAAUGCACAUACUGUGAGCUCGAUGAGUAGGGCGGGACACGUGGUAUCCUGUCUGAAUAUGGGGGGACCAUCCUCCAAGGCUAAAUACUCCUGACUGACCGAUAGUGAACCAGUACCGUGAGGGAAAGGCGAAAAGAACCCCGGCGAGGGGAGUGAAAAAGAACCUGAAACCGUGUACGUACAAGCAGUGGGAGCACGCUUAGGCGUGUGACUGCGUACCUUUUGUAUAAUGGGUCAGCGACUUAUAUUCUGUAGCAAGGUUAACCGAAUAGGGGAGCCGAAGGGAAACCGAGUCUUAACUGGGCGUUAAGUUGCAGGGUAUAGACCCGAAACCCGGUGAUCUAGCCAUGGGCAGGUUGAAGGUUGGGUAACACUAACUGGAGGACCGAACCGACUAAUGUUGAAAAAUUAGCGGAUGACUUGUGGCUGGGGGUGAAAGGCCAAUCAAACCGGGAGAUAGCUGGUUCUCCCCGAAAGCUAUUUAGGUAGCGCCUCGUGAAUUCAUCUCCGGGGGUAGAGCACUGUUUCGGCAAGGGGGUCAUCCCGACUUACCAACCCGAUGCAAACUGCGAAUACCGGAGAAUGUUAUCACGGGAGACACACGGCGGGUGCUAACGUCCGUCGUGAAGAGGGAAACAACCCAGACCGCCAGCUAAGGUCCCAAAGUCAUGGUUAAGUGGGAAACGAUGUGGGAAGGCCCAGACAGCCAGGAUGUUGGCUUAGAAGCAGCCAUCAUUUAAAGAAAGCGUAAUAGCUCACUGGUCGAGUCGGCCUGCGCGGAAGAUGUAACGGGGCUAAACCAUGCACCGAAGCUGCGGCAGCGACGCUUAUGCGUUGUUGGGUAGGGGAGCGUUCUGUAAGCCUGCGAAGGUGUGCUGUGAGGCAUGCUGGAGGUAUCAGAAGUGCGAAUGCUGACAUAAGUAACGAUAAAGCGGGUGAAAAGCCCGCUCGCCGGAAGACCAAGGGUUCCUGUCCAACGUUAAUCGGGGCAGGGUGAGUCGACCCCUAAGGCGAGGCCGAAAGGCGUAGUCGAUGGGAAACAGGUUAAUAUUCCUGUACUUGGUGUUACUGCGAAGGGGGGACGGAGAAGGCUAUGUUGGCCGGGCGACGGUUGUCCCGGUUUAAGCGUGUAGGCUGGUUUUCCAGGCAAAUCCGGAAAAUCAAGGCUGAGGCGUGAUGACGAGGCACUACGGUGCUGAAGCAACAAAUGCCCUGCUUCCAGGAAAAGCCUCUAAGCAUCAGGUAACAUCAAAUCGUACCCCAAACCGACACAGGUGGUCAGGUAGAGAAUACCAAGGCGCUUGAGAGAACUCGGGUGAAGGAACUAGGCAAAAUGGUGCCGUAACUUCGGGAGAAGGCACGCUGAUACGUAGGUGAAGUCCCUCGCGGAUGGAGCUGAAAUCAGUCGAAGAUACCAGCUGGCUGCAACUGUUUAUUAAAAACACAGCACUGUGCAAACACGAAAGUGGACGUAUACGGUGUGACGCCUGCCCGGUGCCGGAAGGUUAAUUGAUGGGGUCAGCGCAAGCGAAGCUCUUGAUCGAAGCCCCGGUAAACGGCGGCCGUAACUAUAACGGUCCUAAGGUAGCGAAAUUCCUUGUCGGGUAAGUUCCGACCUGCACGAAUGGCGUAAUGAUGGCCAGGCUGUCUCCACCCGAGACUCAGUGAAAUUGAACUCGCUGUGAAGAUGCAGUGUACCCGCGGCAAGACGGAAAGACCCCGUGAACCUUUACUAUAGCUUGACACUGAACAUUGAGCCUUGAUGUGUAGGAUAGGUGGGAGGCUUUGAAGUGUGGACGCCAGUCUGCAUGGAGCCGGCCUUGAAAUACCACCCUUUAAUGUUUGAUGUUCUAACGUUGACCCGUGAUCCGGGUUGCGGACAGUGUCUGGUGGGUAGUUUGACUGGGGCGGUCUCCUCCUAAAGAGUAACGGAGGAGCACGAAGGUUGGCUAAUCCUGGUCGGACAUCAGGAGGUUAGUGCAAUGGCAUAAGCCAGCUUGACUGCGAGCGUGACGGCGCGAGCAGGUGCGAAAGCAGGUCAUAGUGAUCCGGUGGUUCUGAAUGGAAGGGCCAUCGCUCAACGGAUAAAAGGUACUCCGGGGAUAACAGGCUGAUACCGCCCAAGAGUUCAUAUCGACGGCGGUGUUUGGCACCUCGAUGUCGGCUCAUCACAUCCUGGGGCUGAAGUAGGUCCCAAGGGUAUGGCUGUUCGCCAUUUAAAGUGGUACGCGAGCUGGGUUUAGAACGUCGUGAGACAGUUCGGUCCCUAUCUGCCGUGGGCGCUGGAGAACUGAGGGGGGCUGCUCCUAGUACGAGAGGACCGGAGUGGACGCAUCACUGGUGUUCGGGUUGUCAUGCCAAUGGCACUGCCCGGUAGCUAAAUGCGGAAGAGAUAAGUGCUGAAAGCAUCUAAGCACGAAACUUGCCCCGAGAUGAGUUCUCCCUGACUCCUUGAGAGUCCUGAAGGAACGUUGAAGACGACGACGUUGAUAGGCCGGGUGUGUAAGCGCAGCGAUGCGUUGAGCUAACCGGUACUAAUGAACCGUGAGGCUUAACCUU